CAGAAAUCCUUCCCCAGGAUGUUUUUUUUCUUUCUGUCUGUAUGAUACUGCCUCUAAUGGGAUGCAGCACAGCUGUUGAAUGAGUUCACAUGCUUUUUGGAGAAAGUAGUCCUGACAGUAGCUUUGGAUUUCGCUGAACUGUUCUACAGGUGAAAAGUGGAUUACACUUUGUAGGAGCCUUAAUCCAGUGGAGAAUACAACAUGUGGCUGAAGAAGCUGGGAAUCCCUGGUCAUCAAUGAAAAUACUAAGACUCAUCCUGAAGUGGAUUCUUGAAGACCUCCUUUAAGAAUUGCCCCUCAUUCAAGUAAUUCCACAUUCAGUACAAAUCACUGUGUUCCAUGUAACCUGGUUCUUGCCUACCUCGCAUUUCUUGUGAGCAUUUCCUCCAUCAUGUCUAACUAAUAUUCCAUGCACAGCAAGUCAGUGCCUGAAAGUAAUUACGUUCCCUUGGAGGUGUAUGCUUAUCUUUUCAAUACCUUUCUGAAGUCCAGAUGUAAUCUUUUCCAUUUCCCUUGGUUUUAUUUAAAAUAAUGUAACAUUUUUAUCGAAAACAACUGCUAAAAUAAUCUUUCAGCAGAGACUAUGGAGGCAGCUAAGAGAUCCUUUUCACGCCAUGUGUAUUUAUCAGAAUGAAUGUAUAGUAAAAGAAAAUGAUGAGGGCAGACUUCCCUGUUAGGAUUGUUAGUAUGUUACCUGGGCUCCGAGCUUUUAGCAGUCGUGGCUGUGCAGCUAACUUCAUCACCAUCAGAUCACCAUCACCUUCAGAUUCAUGUAGCAUCUACACCUUAUUUUCUCAACACUGUUAUUUAGGAAAAUCACUCUGCUUGCUGCAGUUAUUGAAAAUAAGGUAUUUUCUCUAUUGGAAUCUGUCCUCUUUCCAAAUGUUUAUGUGGGAUCACCUGGAGCCUUAAAGUAUUUUCUUUUAAUAGGGCUAUCAUGUAAGAUAUGUUUUAAUGUUACUCCAUUUCUAUGCUGCUAUAACUCCAUGAUAGUCAAGCUCAGUCUGUUCAUGCACAAAGGUUUAUUAGUUUCCCUCCACAUAAUAUGAGACUGUCUUACAAGUGGAAGGUGCCAGCUAUGGUUGGUCUGAUCUCAGGAGAAUGCUCAUAAUUAAAUAACAUUGUUUUGUGUUUUUGUCCCCUUUUGACAGGACAUCUAAUAUAAAGUAGUACUCUGACAUCAUAGUAGGCAGCAAUCCAGUGGUGUCUCAGUUCUUACCAUAUGCAUCAGUCUUUCACGUGACUUACUUUCAUAUAACUUACACAAACUGCUCUGUUCCCAUCCUGUAUGGACCAAUUUCUUCUUUAAUCAGAUGGUGCUUCCUGUCUGAUCACCAUGACUCUCCUUCAAAAGAUAAAUAAUUUGCAUCUAACACAAUACUGUACUGGAAAGAUCUUUUUUUGUCUCAUCUAUAUUCAAUAGCAAAUCUCUGCUUUUCAAAUGGGGGUUGAGAGACGAUCCUGUGAACUACUGCAAACCUAGUGUUCCUGGUAACAGCAGGAACUGACAUUGUUCAGUAACUCGCUUGGAUUCUAAAAGCUAAGAUUAAUGAGAAGCUUGUGCUUUGAGAGUUUUUAUUGACCAGCUCUCAGAGCCAGGCAGACCACCAGCAUGGAUCCUAUAGGAACCUUCUUUCCCAUAGGAGAAAACCCCUUGUCCUAAAAUGGAGGCCCUGUGAUGUCCAUUCACUUUCAGCAUUUCUCUUUCUGUCUUUUGUAAUCAAUCUUAUUCAGGAGCUUUCUUUUACAUGCUAACUAUGCAAUGCCAAUGGGACCCUCACCUCAGAUGAGGUCUUUAAGGGCUACUGGUAAUACAUAUAAUCUUUUCCAGCACCAAGAUUUAGACUUCAAAAUCAGAGGGAAAAGGCAGAAGCUGAAAUUAGGCUGGAAACAAAGUUAAUGUUUUUACCAGGGAGUGUAAUUAGCCCAUAGAGCAGCUUCUGGUAGGGGUAGCUGCUUCACAGUCAUUAAAAUGUCAUAGACUUACUGUGUUUUUGUUUGUUUCCUUGUAUUUAAUACAAACCAUAUGGCAAUGAACAAUACUUCAUUUUGAGUUUCCAAGAAGGGGAAUUCUUAUUAACAAAGGCUUUCUAGUAGCAUGUGUGAAAGAGGACUUUCAUUAUAUUUAUAGGGUUAAUUUAUAUAGGGUAAUAUUUGGUCUCAGUUAAUCCAUCUGUCUAAUAUUUUAACAAUAUUUUAAUGAAACCUUGAGCCAGAUGUCAAUGUAGUUAAGUGUUGCUUAUUUUAUCCGUUGAUUUUCAGUAAAAUAUUGAGGAAUGAAAAACUGAAAACCUAACUCUAACAAAGGGGAAUUACAGUGAUUGUCAUUGAUUUCAACAGGGUCAAAAUGUUAUGGAGCAUUUAUAUGUUCAGCAACUGAAGUAGUGAAAUAUAAAUAUAGAGAUUUGAGAUUGCCUUUAUGCAUGUAACACAGGCAGUUAUUGUAAACCCAGCAAUUCUUUUGUAUGUAGCAGGUCAUAAUAUUUUAUAAUGCAUCGGCACCCCCCCCCCCAAAAAAAAAAACCACCCAACCUUCGUAAAACAUGAACUGUGUGCCAGCUUCCUUCCUAGUUGAUGAUAGUCACAAAGCUGGUCCCAAAUCUGUCAUUGCUAAAUGAACACUAAACUGAUACUAGUCCUUCUCUUUAUUGUGGCCUAGCGUGGUCAUUGCUGUUCUUAGCCCUUUGACUUGAAGUGUCCAGCAGACAUUAAUCUAUGCUCAUUACAUGCAAAUUUUAGCUGUAGUCUUUGAUUUGGUUGCUGCUGCUGAAGGAACAUACACAUAAUUUAUCAGGGCGCUACUAGACCUUAAUCGUCCUGGCCAGCCUCACCUUGGGCCUCUCCCUACAACCCUGCCUGUGGUCCCAGGCACCUGAUUUCAGUUCAUCCCAGGGCCUUCAGUCUUCACCUGAGCUAUGUUGGGAGGAUGGCUGGCCUCCAGCUCAACCACAGCCCUGUCCUGCCUGGCCAUGAGCUGUGUUGAUCAAGACCCUAACCUGAAUACUGAUUUCCUGGCUUGAACUCAGCCCUGCCUCAUCACCAUGAUUUUGCCUGAUGAUUUGGAGUCUUGGUUGAGCCUGGCUGCUGUCUCCAGGUCUGUCCUACCCUGUUCACCUUGCCUGGGUACUCUAGGGCUGGGCCCUGGCUGGGAGGACACCUGUCCUGCUUGCUGGGCAUUAUGCUCAGCUUCCACCUUCCCAUCCCUUAGGGAGCAGCAAGCCAGCCCUUAGCGUACACUGCUACAACUGUCUACUGAAAGAGUUAGAAAAGCUUAGAUUCAGCUCCUGUUCCAGUUGACAAAGGGAUAUUGCUUAUGGAUGUUGGGAUCAUGGGCUGAGUCAGUCCAUGAAAUAUUAAAAAGAAAUCUGAGGUGGAGUCAGCCUUAGUUGGAUUCUGGUCAGUAAAAUGAUUAUACUCAGUGAUUACAUGCAUGAGUCUGUAGUUAAGGAGUUGUUACAGAGCUGUACUUGGUCAUUUGCAUUAGAAUAUCAAACCUGUUUGGGACUGUAUUUAGCAAACUUAUAGGUAAUAUUGUAACCUAUUGCAAAACAAGAGGCUUUUAUCAAGCUGUCAUUUCUUCACUUUUGGAAUAGUUAGAUAUCACAUGAUGUAACUACCCCAGAUGGCUGGGUGAGAAAUUCCUGCAUUCCUGAUUUACUGAGUCUAAAAUUUCACUGCUGUCAGACCCUUGAAUGCACUUAUGGUUGGAUAAUAUUUUGGUUUCUGUGGCUUUUGGAGAAACUGAACUUUUAGUUAUUAUGCACAACAUUAAUAUCCUUCCUCCCCCUUGUUAUGUGUAUAACAUUUUUUGUCUUCAGACCAUUACAUCUAGCAUUACGUGACUCAUGGCCCAUUGCAGCUCAGUAAAAUGUCAUGGUUAUGAAUAUAUUGCACAGUGAGCCUGUCUUGCACAUCUUCGGUGCAAUAUUUAUUAUUCAGCUCUUGCUGGAGUCAAUGGAAGAUUUCCAUUAUGCUGAAAAGACAUUUGGAGCAGGUCUGAGUUUGCCCUUAGCGUGCCUGACUACUGCGCAAAGAAAAGGCCUAUUUGUAGACUGAGUAGCCAUCUCUUUUAUGACUUUAAUGUAGUCACUACUGGUGACUAAAAUGGAAGUUUCAGCAUACUCUGGUCACAAGACUGCAUACUCAGGGCCUCUGAAGAGCUCACAGGUUUCCACAUGAGCUAACAACAAGUUGCAUUAAGAACACCUCAUCUACUUCUUGAACAGGAAGUCUGUAGCAGAUGCCCACUGCAAUGUCACCCAUGAUGGUCUGUCCACUAAUCCUAACCUCUACAUUGUCAGGUCCCUAGGCCGAGCUCCAUGUGUUCCCACUACACUCACAUAACGAGCAAAUCCCUCUCCUUCCCAGUCUCUCCUGCCUAAAGACCCCCCUUUCUUUCUGAAUUUUGCUUUAACCCUCGUUAAUCACAUUUCUUUCCUGUUGUGUGUAAUUUUGCCUGCCAUGAGCUCUUUUGCCUGUUUACAUAUUCCUCCUUAGGCCCCCUAUUACUUUUCCCCAUAUUCCCUUGUCCUCAUUCUUAUGUUGCCUUGUCUAUCUUCCUCUGUCACCACUUGACUUUAGUAUCUCACAUCAGUAGGUAUCUGGGGCAGUGGAAGACCCAAAACUGAACAGAUGUGCUUUGAUGCCAUUCUUUCAGUCCGGAAGUUGUACUUUUCCUCAUAUUAUCCUCCAUGGCCCUCAAGGCUUACUUUUUUAUAGUAAUCCUCUUGAAACAAAACCUAUCUGUUUUCUUAUGGUCUCAGAGCAUUGUUAUUACUUAACUUACUAAGUAAGAUUGCAGAGACACUGAUGCUUUCUUUAGAAAAACCAGGCUGUAUUAUACCAUCCAGGAUAAUCUGUGAUGUGCUAGUAUGAAUAGGAUCUGAAAUAAAGUAUGCUCUGGGCUUGGUUUUCAUGGAGUUCUGUUUCUUCUUGAUGUAUUUAUGCACCCAGCCUGACCACCAUAUAUACAGUCAAAGAAGCUACAUGUGCAAUUUUCCUUGAUCAACAUGGUAAAAAU